UACAUCAAGUAGUGUUGACCAACUUUGCUUUGCCUAUGGUCUCCAGAACAGAUGCACGUGUUUCAUACAAGUCAACGACCCCACUGGAAUCACAACUAUAGCCACAAAAAGUGUUCUGAAUAAUGGAGGACAAACGGGCAGUUCAGCCUGGUGGAUGAUCUACAUUUGUCCGUACAACUACUCUUCCACCAACUUGCAUGCCAUUUUGGAAAUCAUCAUUCUAGCCUGAAGGAGGGGAAGAAGAUGAUCUUGAAGUCCAAAAUUACAUUACUGUCAUCGAGAUCAGAAUUGGGAUAAUGGUUUGGAAAUGUAUCCCAUAUGAUUGGGUUGACAAUCCCAAAAGCUGAGCUCCAGAGGAAAUGCAAACAACUGCCACUAAAUGCAUCCAGUGAUAGAGCUCCCAAGUCUACCUUAAAAGCACGGAUGAAUACAUCAUUCUGGGGCAAUAUCAUCAGCUGCAUAGACCUCUUCACCUUGGAGUAAAGGAGCCACUGCAGGAUUUAUAACAAAGGACCAAGCUCUGCAGUCCCAUGUGUGACUUCACUAUAUAUCAUUUUCUUUAAAGUGUUUGUUUCCCCACAGGAAAAAAAAAAGUCCAUGAAAUGUGAUGUUGCUUUUGCUUGUCAGUGUG
ensembl:lncRNA